rnacentral:tRNA from 1 species
GGAGGGGUGGCAGAGCGGUCUAAUGCAUCGGUCUUGAAAACCGACGGGCCGCAAGGUCCCGCGAGUUCGAAUCUCGCCCCCUCCGCC